rnacentral:lncRNA from 10 species
AUAGUACCCCAUUCCUUGCUGCAAUGUAAUUAUAUUUAAUUACAAGUGUGCCCCUGGUAGUCUUUAACUGAAGGGCACUGACUGGGUCACUGGUGAAGUUCCCCGCAGGAACUGAGUCAGACCCCAUCUCAGGGCCCUGCACAAGAUAGGUGCCUGCUCUAAGGCGUGGACCCUCGCCACAGCCCUGGCCCGUCUUGACGGGCGAGGGUUACUGUACUUGUCCCAACCGUACAGAUGAGAAAGCUGAGACUCAGGGCCAGCAACCCGGGUCCCAGCGGAGCGCCCGGCACACGCCGACACUUCAGCACCAGUGGCGGUGGCCACCACUGUGGGCGGAGAUGGCUGCGACGCGUGCGCAGAUCUCGAUCCCAAACUCCCUCCUGCCAGAAUCUGGACCCGAAUCCACCCAUUGCCCGUUUUCCGCUGCCGCUGGAGAGAAUCUCUGAGGUCCCCAGGAGAGCCUGCCUGCACGGAAGAGACGCCUCCUCGGCAGCAGUAGGGCUUAUGGGAGCCAUUGUACAGUGACAGGAACAUACCAGGACACUGAGAAUAGCGUCAUGUCAUAAGGACUCAGAGCAGGUGGACCCUGCUGUGAUGCACAAAGAGGACCAUGCAAGAUAUGAUAAAGAUCUAUGUCACUGAAUUUUGUUUCUGUAUUUGUAUCUCAGCUUCCCAGAAAUAAAAAAGAAUUCUAACAUUCAUA